rnacentral:lncRNA from 1 species
AUGCUAUUUAAGCUGUAUCAUCAGCAACCUAAAGGGUUGUCAAUUAAUCCUUAUUCAUCUGGCCUCUGCAAAUUUGUAUUUAAUUCUUUAGGUUUUCCAAAUAACCCCUGUAUCUUAUCUUUCUUCUUUGCAAAAAUGAAUGCAAUGUUUUGUUCAAUGAUCCCAAGUCGACUUGAAACUCAAGUUGUCAUCUUGGCUUGCAGAUCUGUGUCCUUCAUUGUACCAGCCAGUCACAUGGAUGGAUCUAGGGAAUUACUUUACGUGUCACGAAGUUCACAGGGCAUAUUCUCCACAAACAAUGUAUGUUACAUGAAAAAAAAAAAAGGCACCUCUUGUUUUCAACUGCAAUCAGGUCUUGGUGCCUAUCAUCAUGAAAUCCUCCUAGCAUUCAGGAAUGGGCAAUCUAUCAGCAGAAAUUAUGCAGACUCGAGUUUUGAUGUCCUGGCUGAACUUUGAGGAAUGGUCUGUUUUUUAUUCUCAUUUAAUAAAGUAUAGUUGUGGUAGCUCAAGACGAAAAUGAAGUUCGGGUGCCAAAUAUUAUUGUUUUUUUUCCUGGUGGCUUCAAUUGUGUUAAUAAAGAAAACAUGCUCUUGCCAAUAUAUAAAGUAUUCGCCAAGUUUGGAUUUUUCUUCCAAACUGAACUGCAAAUAACCUGCUUUCCUUGGCUAAAUCUACUUAAGAAAUAAACUUAAAAUGUGUCUUUAAUCAGAUAGGACCAGAUCAUUACAUCUUAGGAUUUAAGAGAAAAGUUAAACUAUGAAGAAGGGGACUUAGAGGCUAUUUUAACUGCUCCCCAAAGGUCCAUAUACACAUAUUGUUUUAUAACAUGCUUUAAAAAAGUUAAUAUAUAGUGAACAUAUUUCCACACAUUCAAUCAUCUUGAAGAGUCAGAAUGUAAUGAAUACACAGAACUCCCUUGUAUGACUAUUCCACAUUUUUUUAACCUAAUUCCUAACUAUUGGAUAUUUAGGUAUUAAUUUUCUUACAAUUAUGUGUAAGUAUUGUAAUCAUCAUUUGAUCAAUGUGGUGUAUGCUGUGGUAAAUAUUCUUAAGAUAAAUCUUUGUUCACACCCAUGACCAUUAUCUUAGGAUAAAGCGUAGACAAAAAUUGACAAGUCAAAUGUUAUAAACAUUUUAAAGCCAUGUGCUACAUAUUCACAGAUAAUUUCAAUAUAUGAUAAUGGCUACUGACAAAAAUUGACAAGUCAAAUGUUAUAAACAUUUUAAAGCCAUGUGCUACAUAUUCACAGAUAAUUUCAAUAUAUGAUAAUGGUUACUGAAGGGAAAUUUAAAUUAACCCAAUAAAAAGCUAUGUAGAAAAAAAUCAUAAUAAUUGCAGUUUGGCAGCUAAAAUGUUUAUUAAAAUGGAGUCCAUGGAGGCAAAAGUAAUAAAGGGUAAUCUUCAGUGCUCAGAAAAAGAAUUGAAUAUUAUUCUUCUGGAGGGACAAAUUUAUUGGUA